GUCUAUGGCCAUACCCACCCUGAAUGCACCCAAUCUCAUCUGAUCUCCUGAUCAGCAGGGUUGGGCCUGAUUAGUACUUGGUUGGGAGAAAUGAAGAAGCCUGGUACUAUCUCUU
ensembl:rRNA 5S_rRNA 5S ribosomal RNA